GCGGUCUGAAAAUCAUUCGGGGUCUGCUGGUGGCCCCGGGUGAGAUAACGGCGCCCAUAGCAUCGGGAACAUUAAGCUUAUUUCCCACGGUUGUGUGUGGGGAAUGAAACCCAUGUUCCCAUAAGC
ensembl:snoRNA